AUGGCCAUACCACGUUGAAAGCACCGGUUCUCGUCCGGUCGCCGCAGUUAAGCAACUUUGGGCGUGGUUAGUACUUGGAUGGGUGACCGACUG
rnacentral:rRNA from 1 species